rnacentral:rRNA from 1 species
UGACAGUACUCUACGGGAGGCAGCAGUGGGGAAUAUUGGACAAUGGGCGCAAGCCUGAUCCAGCCAUGCCGCGUGAGUGAUGAAGGCCUUAGGGUUGUAAAGCUCUUUUGUCCGGGACGAUAAUGACGGUACCGGAAGAAUAAGCCCCGGCUAACUUCGUGCCAGCAGCCGCGGUAAUACGAAGGGGGCUAGCGUUGCUCGGAAUCACUGGGCGUAAAGGGCGCGUAGGCGGCCAUUCAAGUCGGGGGUGAAAGCCUGUGGCUCAACCACAGAAUUGCCUUCGAUACUGUUUGGCUUGAGUUUGGUAGAGGUUGGUGGAACUGCGAGUGUAGAGGUGAAAUUCGUAGAUAUUCGCAAGAACACCAGUGGCGAAGGCGGCCAACUGGACCAAUACUGACGCUGAGGCGCGAAAGCGUGGGGAGCAAACAGGAUUAGAUACCCUGGUAG